rnacentral:rRNA from 1 species
CCUAAUUAAUUCUACUAGUAGUUAUAUACUUAUCUUAAAAAUUAAGCUAUAUAUAUCUAAAUAUAAGUAAUUAUAUAGUGAAACUGCAAAUAGCUCAUUAUAUAAGUUAUCAUUUAUUUAAUAGUAUCUUACUACUUAGAUAACUAUAGUAAUUCUAAAGCUAAUAUAUACUAAAAAUCCCAACUUCAGAAGGGAUAUAUUUAUUAGAUUAAAAACUAAUACUCUUUAGAACUUACUAGUGAUUCAUAAUAACUUCUCGAAUUAUAUAACUUUAUACCAACGAUAGUUUAUUUAAAUUUCUUCCCUAUCAACUUUCAAUACUAAAGUAAUAUUCUAGCAUAAUUACAACAAAUAACAGAGAGUUAGAGCUCGACCCCAGAGAAGGAGCCUAAGAAACAACUACUAUAUCCAAGGAAAGCAGCAGGCAUACAAAUUACCCAAUCCCAACAUAGGGAAGUAGUAACGAUAAAUACUAAUACAAAACUCUUUUAAGUUUUAUAAUUAGAAUAAAUAUAAUUUAAAUCCCUUAAUAAGGAAUAAUUAGAAGGCAAGUCUGAUACUAACAGCUACAGUAAUUCCAGCUCCAAUAGUAUAUAUUAAAAUUAUUAUAGUUAAAAAGCUUAUAGUAGAACCUUAAGCCUAGCUAGCUAGUCUGCCUCACUACAUAUAUUAGUCUAGCCAGACUUUUCCCUCUAUAGAACUAUAUACUUUUCACUAAGUAUACUAGAGAAAUAGAACUUUUACUUUAAAAAAAUUAGAAUACUCCAAACAAACUUAUACUUAAAUACAUUAGUAUAGAAUAAUAAAAUAGGAUAUAUAAUUCUAUUUUAUUAGUUUCUAGGACCGCCAUAAUAAUUAAUAGGGACAGUUAGAAGCAUCAGUAUUUAAUUAUCAGAAGUGAAAUUCUUAAAUUUAUUAAAAACUAACUACUACAAAAGUAUUUACCAAGGAUAUUUUCAUUUAUUAGGAACGAAAGUUAGGAGAUCGAAGAUAAUCAGAUACUAUUAUAAUUUUAACUAUAAACUAUACUAACUAGGGAUUAGAUAAUAUUAUUUUUUAACUUAUUUAGUAUCUUACGAGAAAUUAAAAUAUUUAAACUCCAGGGGGAGUAUAGUCAUAAAACUGAAACUUAAAGAAAUUGAUGGAAGGAUACUACUAGGGGUAAAUAAUAGCUAUUUAAGCUCUACCCCAGACAGUAAGCCCAUAAAGGGUCCAGUAGCUAGCCCCAAAUCGCUAGUCACCCCAGUAGUGAUAAUAUCCCCUAAUUACGGGAAACCCUCAGAGGGUGGCAUUCCUAAGCAGCACUCAAAAGAGAUACUAUAGUGGCAGUAUAACGGCCGCCAGUAUAGAGACAAUAUACUACUUAUAAGGUAACUUACAGCUAAGCUCCUAACUAUAAAAAAGGUUCAGAAACUCAAUAGGGAUAAGUAGCGCCCCCAGGCGCCACCUAAGAUAGAGUCUAUACCCACUCGAGAGAGCAGAAACUAACUAGCAUAUUACCUAAAAAGGAAGCCUGCAGCUUAAUUUAACUUAAUAUAGAGAAACUUACUAGAUCCAGAUAUAAUAAGAAUUAACAGAUUGAAAGCUUUUUCUUAAUUUUAUAGGUAGUAGUAUAUAGCUAUUUUUAGUUAGUAAAGUAAUUUAUCUACUUAAUUACAAUAAUAAAUAAAAUCUUAACCUACUAAAUAGUUUAUAUUACUUUAGCAGUAUACUAGCUUCUUAGAGGAACUAUUAGCUUAAGCUAAUAGAAGUUUAAAGUAAUAAUAGGUUAACUUUCAUAAGCUUAUAAUAG